GCCUACGGGAGGCAGCAGUAGGGGAUAUUGGUAAUCUAGGAAACUGGGAACCAGCAACGCCGCGUGUGCGAUGAAGGCCUUCGGGUUGUAAAGCACUUUUCACCGGGACGAGGAAGGACGGUACCGGUGGAAUAAGCCUCGGCUAACUACGUGCCAGCAGCCGCGGUAAAACGUAGGAGGCGAGCGUUAUCCGGAUUUACUGGGUGUAAAGCGCAUGCAGGCGGUUCGCUAAGUUGGGUGUGAAAGCUCCUGGCUCAACUGGGAGAGGUCGCUCAGGACUGGCGGGCUAGAGGGUGGUAGGGGAAGGCGGAAUUCCGGGUGUAGUGGUGAAAUGCGUAGAUAUCCGGAGGAACACCAGUGGCGAAGGCGGCCUUCUGGACCAUGACUGACGCUCAGAUGCGAAAGCUAGGGGAGCAAACGGGAUUAGAUACCCCGGU
rnacentral:rRNA from 1 species